rnacentral:siRNA from 1 species
AUACACAAAAUAACUGGUCCUCUC